rnacentral:rRNA from 1 species
GUUUCUACGGGGGGCAGCAGUAGGGAAUUUUCGUCAAUGGGCGCAAGCCUGAACGAGCGAUGCCGCGUGAGUGAAGAAGGCCUUCGGGUCGUAAAGCUCUGUUGCGGGGGAAAAAAGGCAGCGUCAGGAAAUGGGGGCUGACUGAUGGUGCCCCGCCAGAACGUCACGGCUAACUACGUGCCAGCAGUCGCGGUAAUACGUAGGUGGCGAGCGUUAUCCGGAUUGAUUGGGCGUAAUGGGUGCGCAGGCGGU